GUCUACGGCCAUACCACCCUGAACGCGCCCGAUCUCGUCUGAUCUCGGAAGCUAAGCAGGGUCGGGCCUGGUUAGUACUUGGAUGGGAGAAUUUAGCACUGAGCAGUUAACA
ensembl:rRNA 5S_rRNA 5S ribosomal RNA